AUUCUGGAGUUGUGAUGCUCACAAGUCACCAUUUUUUGUGAGGUUUUUUUUGUGAGGUUUCUUAUGAGACUGUCACAAUUUGGUAUUCUGCGAGAAACCUCAUAAGAAACCUCACAAAAAAUUCACCACAGAAAGAGGUGAGUUCCUAAAUAUGACAGCCAGCUGGUUUGUCAAAACAAAUCGGAUAAAAAAAUCAAUAUGCACUUAUUUGGAUUUGGAACUUCGAAUUAUAAAAAUAAAAACAAUUAAAACAUGAAAGCAUUUAUCGACCGAGAGAAUUCUGUACCUUUCCAUCAAGUCAACACUUCUAAUCCUCUUGUGGCUGAUGAGGAUGCUCUUAUUCAGCGUCGAUAAAAAAAAGCAAAACAAAUUGGUGGAUUCAUUUAAUCAAAGUAAGAAUGGCUCACACAAUGUACGCAAUCAUCAUCUGUAGGUUCUGGUUCCUCCUGGCUGCAGAGCAACAUCUUUCAAAUGACACCAUGAAUGGCAAUUCAUCAACCUCACUAUAUCGAAACCUAUAUGGUUAUCGAAAACUUGAGCUAUGGGAGCAGCAGCUGCUGCAUCUCCCACCAUCUCUACCAUUAGUUCAAAACACCAUAUAUAUAAAUAUGAUGCAAAAUCAUUAGAAAAAUCAUCAUCAAGAUCCUUGGGCACCAAAAGCUCAACCAAUCUCUGCUAAUAAUGGCGAUCCAUGGAGGAGAACUAGAAAUAAGGGUUAUUCACGGGUACUUUUGUAUAGACCGGCCCACAAGCCUUACUGGGUGCUUCGAUGGACGGCCUAAGGCUCCCUUCAAAACGGUGUUGAAGUCAGUCGACUGCGGACCAGGACUCAAUUUUCCUUUUUUUUUCGUUAAAAAAAUGAAGGUUUAAAAAUAAUGAAAUUUUUUAUAACGGUGCGGCGGCCCAGCCCUUUUAUUACAAUCUGGGACCGCCGAUAAUAAACCUAGGAAAUUCGCUUUGGUUUAAAACUAUUCAAUAAAAAAGUUGCUAAAAAUUCGCAGAACUCACCACUUUUAAUUAUUUUGCAAAAUUUAUAAUUUUGUUCACCACACGUUAGUACAGGAAAUUCAAUAAAAAAAGUUUCCAACAGAUCUUUGUGAUAAGUUUCCAACAGAUCUUUGUGAUUGUUUUUCUAAAAAAAAUUAAUGCCAAAAG